rnacentral:tRNA from 1 species
CUUUAGUUGAAGCCAAAACAGAGGCAAAUUAUUGUUAAUAAUUUUACUGAUAUUUUCCUACUGUCAUUAUAGU